AGUCGAACGAAGCACUUUAUUCAGAUUCUUUCGGGAUGAUGAAUUUAGUGACUUAGUGGCGGACGGGUGAGUAACGCGUGGGUAACCUGCCUUACACAGGGGGAUAACAGUUAGAAAUGACUGCUAAUACCGCAUAAAACAGCAGCACCGCAUGGUGCAACUGUCAAAGAUUUAUCGGUGUAAGAUGGACCCGCGUCUGAUUAGCCAGUUGGUGGGGUAACGGCCUACCAAAGCGACGAUCAGUAGCCGACCUGAGAGGGUGAUCGGCCACAUUGGGACUGAGACACGGCCCAAACUCCUACGGGAGGCAGCAGUGGGGAAUAUUGGACAAUGGGCGAAAGCCUGAUCCAGCGACGCCGCGUGAGCGAUGAAGUAUUUCGGUAUGUAAAGCUCUAUCAGCAGGGAAGAAAAUGACGGUACCUGACUAAGAAGCCCCGGCUAACUACGUGCCAGCAGCCGCGGUAAUACGUAGGGGGCAAGCGUUAUCCGGAUUUACUGGGUGUAAAGGGAGCGUAGACGGAAGUGCAAGUCAGAAGUGAAAGCCCGGGGCUUAACCCCGGGACUGCUUUUGAAACUGUGCAUCUAGAGUGCAGGAGAGGUAAGCGGAAUUCCUAGUGUAGCGGUGAAAUGCGUAGAUAUUAGGAGGAACACCGGUGGCGAAGGCGGCUUACUGGACUGUAACUGACGUUGAGGCUCGAAAGCGUGGGGAGCAAACAGGAUUAGAUACCCUGGUAGUCCACGCCGUAAA
rnacentral:rRNA from 1 species